UCACCGCAUUGUGGGCCGCCCCCUCCCAACGACGGGUGGAAGGAGACCGUCAAUCAUCCAUAAAACUCAUCCAAUGUGUGUCAGGGCAUUCGCAUCGUUGUAUUUUGAUAAUCAGCUGUCUUCAACAGGACUGGCCUGACAGAGCACUCAUUGCAUUGCUAGCAGCGCGUCUGCACCUCCGCCUGUCAAUAUGAAUCCCAACCAUCGUCAGUUCGAGGGCACUUAUGUCGCUCUCACUCAACAUGAACAUGUAUAAUCAUCACCUCCAGCAGUGCGUACUAACGUUAAAUGCUGCGUCUUCUCAAAUGCGAGCAAACAGCACCUACUCAGCAACAGUUUGCUCCUGUUUGGGACAAAAGAACCAAAUUCCAGAGGUUUUGAAAGUUACAGCCCGUGACCUAAAGGAGCAGGAGCAAAACUGAAAUCAGUUGUUUGGAGUCAUAACCUUAACACAGAGGAAGACCGCCUCAGAGUCAUUGAGUUAAACAGCACAGAAACACGGAGCCUUCGCUGCAGAUCAUCCGUAACGACUACAUGUCCUAAGCUGGAGUUAAUACACUGUGGAGCCUGAGGAACACAAUAUUCUCUCUAUGCCUGGCUUUUAAAGCGAUGCCCUCACCUCUGGUUCUCCCUUCCCCUAUUCGUGAGUUCACACCCAUGCUCCAGUACACUGCCUCAAGAGAUUGGGUCUAGCAGUCAUUCCCUGGGUGCCAAUGGAAUUUUACUGACAGCACUCUUGAGGGAAUUCUGCAAGGGAGUCGUGGAAAGGCCACCUCGAACCAGAAAAUGCCUAACGAGGUGUUAAAUGCUGCAAGGAAUGAUCCUACUCAUCAGAGCCUUCUGAACAUCUUCAUCCAUUUGACCCUGGAAAUAUAUUUACAAAAUGUAAAUUCAUGAACCAAACUAUACAACUUUUGAUCCUAAAUAUAAGAACAAUGAAGUCCCUGCAAAGGAAGUUUAAAGACUCGGGUACAAGAAGUGGACUUCAAUCCUACAAGAGUAUCAAUUUCAAGACAACUCUUGGUUCAGUAUACACAAUGGGCAGGCUUCAUCUGACCACUUUUGAUUUCAGAUUCCCAGCAUCUGGAGUAUUUUUGCUCAAGGCAACUGCAUCCUGCUUGAGCGUGAGACAUGGGACAGCAGUGUACCUUUCAGCACAUCAAACCUACUCCAUCAUUCAGUCAUGGCUACUGUAAUAAUCCUCAAUGCCACUUUCCCAGCUAUUCCUUAUAACCAUCCCUUUAUGUCCUUUUAUUGAUGAAAACUGUAUCUAUUUUAGCCUUGAAUAUACUGAAUGACUGAGCCUUGAAUCUGUCUGCAGUAAAGAAUUCCACUGAUUCACUUCUCUGGGAGAUCAGAAAUUCCUCUGUGUUCUGUUUUAAAUGGAUGACUCUUUGCUCUGAGAUUACAUCUUCUGGUCCUGGACUUACCCACCAGGGGAAACAACUUUUCUGCAUUCUUCCUGUCAAGUCUACUAAGAGUCGUGUAUGUUUCAAAAAGGUUGCCUCUCAUUCUUCUAAAUUCCAAUGAGUACAGACCCAUCACUGAGAAGCUGAAAACAAAUGAAUCAUGUCCUCCGUUAACCAUUACCAUAAGGACCAUGUAUAAUUGCGACUUUAUGGUGGUGAAUCUGGCACCAUCAAAAAGAAAAUAUUGCUGUGCCUGGAGGAUGUUCCUUGGGAGUUGUCAGUAAUGCCUUGAUACUGAUUCUUUGGCUUAUUUGUAUUGUUUGUUGCUAUCAUUAUGUUUGUGUAAAUUAUUUUAAUGUUGAGUUGUAAUGUUAAACUGAAGCUAACUGAUUAGCAAAGCAAUAUAAAUUUGACUUUCUACUGUACCAGGUCUAUUGAUCACAGGAUCAACUCGAUCCAGACACCUCCAACAUCAUUACUCACAGGGCAUCCAGAGUACUUGGUGCUUAUGUUGAGCUGUAUUUAUAAUAGAACAUAGGACAUAGAACGGUAUAGCACAGUACAGGCCCUUCGGCCCACAAUGUUGCGCUGAACUUUUACCCUAAACCUAAGGAGACUCUAACCUCCACCCCUACCUUAUACUAUCAUCCUUAUGCCUAUCUAAUAGCCGCUUAAAUGCCCCUCCUGAGGCCGACUUCACUACACCCUCCAGCAAUGCAUUCCAUGCUCCGAGUAAAGAACCUACCUCUGACAUCUCUCCUAUAUCUAUCUCCACUCACUUUAAAACUAUGCCCCCUCAUAAUAGCUACCUCCACCCGAGGAAAAAGUCUCUGCCUGUUUGCUUUAUCUAUACCUCUGAUCAUUUUGUACACCUCUAUCAAGUCACCUCUCGUCCUUUGUCGUUCUAAAGAGAAAAGCCCUAGCUCUCUCAAGCUUUCCUCCGAAGACCUUCCCUCCAUUCCAGGCAACAUCCUGGUAAAAUCUCCUCUGCACCUUAUCCAACGCUUCCACAUCUUUCCUGUAAUGAGGCGACCAGAAAUGGACAUAAUACUCUGGAUGUGGCCGAACCAGGCUUUUGUACAGCUGGAGCAUAACUUCACGGCUCUUGAACUCAAUCCCUUUAUUAAUGAAAGCGAACACACCAUACGCUUUCUUAACAACUCUAUCACCUGGGUGGCAGCUUUCAGGGAACUGUGGACAUGAACUCCAAGGUCCCUCUGCUCUUCCACACUGCCAAAAACCUUUCUGUUAACCCUGUAUUGUGCUUUCAAUUUUUUCCUUCCAAAAUGAAUCACCUCACACUUUUUAGGGUUAAACUCCAUCUGUCACUAUAAUAGUUAAGUUUAAUCUGCCUUUAACUAAAAUAAAGAGAGAAAUUUAAGGAAAUAUGGUUGCAAGAAAUUAAUUUUAGCACAAAAAUUUCUAAGGAAAACAGUUUAUUUUUAGAAGUAUGGAACUGUUAGAUUUAAGUAAAUCAAAAACUAAAAGCCAUGAAGUCGAGACGUUUGGGAGCUGGCUAAGGCUUUGUUACACAUUGGGAACAUUUUUCCUUAGAAAAUAUUUGAUGUACAAUUUGCAUUUAAAUAGUGGCACAGUAAAACAAAUUGAAUAAGUCAAUGAUUCUUUUCUUAGAGGAUGGUUUGAUGUGAGAUGUGAUUAAAAUGUUAAUGAAUUCCAUGUUAUUAUUUCCCUAAGCACUGCAUACAUUAAAAAAAACCUGUCAGCCAAUCUUUGCAACAACUCACCAGUUGCAUUGGAGACCAUAGAUGAUCUGCUCAAGAACAUAUGCUCACAAGUUCAUGCUUCAAGUUGUGAACAGAGGGAGAGGGAGAAAAGCUAACACAUGCAAAAAUUAGGGUUCAAAACACAGGAUGCAAGAGGUGGUUAGAAAUCACUGGAAUACAAAUACAUUUACAUUUCACCUCAAUCUCAGGGCUAAGUCGAUACGUACCAAAAGGAACUUCUAAACAUGCAAAGAGGUUUGUGAAAAUAUUCUACAUGAAUAGUUAUUGUGCAAUACAGGAGCUCAUGGUAUAGAGGAUAACCUAUGCUAGCAUGGAGUGAAGAUUAGCUAGCUGGUAGAAAACAGAGAGCAUGGAGAAAUAUGAGAUAACGAAGUGUGGAGC